GCCAGGUGUGGUGGCGCAUGCCUGUAAUCCCAGCUACUUGGGAGGCUGCGGCAGGAGAAUCACUUGAACCCAGGAGGAGGAGGUGCAGUGAGCCGAGAUUGUGCCACUGCACUCCAGCCUGGGUGACACAGUGAGACUCUGUCUCAA
rnacentral:SRP_RNA from 1 species